CCCAUGAUUGCAAGCUAUUGUAAUGUAUAUACUGCCAUGAAUGUUAAACAGAUUAAAGGCAAUCCUCCAACCAGUAACAGAAGAAGUAGAGAGUUUGUUUAGGCCAAAAUCAGGGGGAACCAGAUAGUGUAAUCCAGGGCUUUGUUUCAAAUGGUGAUAUGCAAAGAGAGCUCCCUCUUGCACUGAUUCCGACUGGAGAAAUCAGGGAAGAUGCCUCCCUUUUGAAAACCUAACCUUAGAUGUGAGAGAGAGAGAGAGAGAGUCGUGGUUUGUGCUUUGAGGAACGUAGACACCUUUUGAUUACGUUUCUGUGUUUCUCCGUUUCUGUUCUCAGGGGAAAAAUAAAUGAAAUUGUGUCCGAUAAAACUUGUCUCUAAAUUUUGAAAACCUCAAAACGACCCCAAGCUCCAAGUCCGCCGCAUCUCCUCUCGACGUCGUCGACCUCCAAAACGUCUUAACCCAACAAGGAACUGGUGCUUCCAGGUUGCUGCAACACCUCUUCGAAACUAGAAGGAUUUACGGAUUUUUGUGGUUCCUUCACUGUGAGCUCUCUGUCCUUUGUCCUGGAAUCGGUUCCCACUCGACCCAGAUGGCACAUUGAGAGGGAAUCGCUUCAAUCGGAACUCUGCUCAACCCUCCACAAAUCCAACCUUCAACUUUCGUCCUCUGUAGGGUUUCAUUCAAUGGAAUUGGAUUGAUGAUAAAGGUCCUCUGUGCUUGAUUUCGAAUCUGAAAAAUUGGAAAAAGAAUGCUGAUUAUGCUGCAACAAAUGUGAGGUGUAACUUCAUUACCCCUUCAGUUCUUCUCCUUGAUGUCUCUCUCCCGCAGCUUAGCUUCACCUUACCCAUGGCUCAGAGAGCUAAAAUCCGAGGAGCGUGGAUUGUAUCUGAUCCAUCUGUUGCUUUCCUGUGCCAACCAUGCGGCCAGGUGAAGGGGGAUCAAGGAGGGAGAAUUUUGUAGGAUCUCAGCACAUUUUUUUUCAAGUGUGAUUGUAUGCUUUGGCAACUCUAUUCUUGUUCAUCAGAAUUGUAUUCAACUACACUCGGUAAAAUGCCUGUUUCAUAUUGAAUUAAAGAGGUUCUCCCCUUCCCC